AGGGUUCGAUUCUGGCUCAGGAUGAACGCUGGCGGCGUGCCUAAUACAUGCAAGUCGAACGGGAGUGCUGCACUCCAGUGGCGAACGGGUGAGUAACACGUAGGUAAUCUAGCAUUAAGACGAGGAUAGCUUCUAGAAAUGGGAGAUAAUACUGGAUAGGAAAUUUUCCCGCAUGGGGAAAUUUUUAAAGAUUUAUCGCUUAAUGGGGAGCCUGCGGUGCAUUAGCUAGAUGGUGAGGUAGCGGCUCACCAUGGCGAUGAUGCAUAGCCGGUCUGAGAGGACGAACGGCCACAUUGGGACUGAGAACGGCCCAAACUCCUACGGGAGGCAGCAGUAGGGAAUUUUCGGCAAUGGGCGGAAGCCUGACCGAGCAACGCCGCGUGAUUGAAGAAGUAUUUCGGUAUGUAAAAUCUUUUAUUUGGGACGAAAAAAUCAAAAUUGACGGUACCAAAUGAAUAAGCCCCGGCUAACUACGUGCCAGCCGCAGC
rnacentral:rRNA from 1 species